CAGCAGCCGCGGUAAUACGUAGGGGGCGAGCGUUGUCCGGACUUAUUGGGCGUAAAGCGCGCGCAGGCGGUCCUUUAAGUCUGAUGUGAAAGCCCACGGCUCAACCGUGGAGGGUCAUUGGAAACUGGGGGACUUGAGUGCAGGAGAGGAGAGCGGAAUUCCACGUGUAGCGGUGAAAUGCGUAGAGAUGUGGAGGAACACCAGUGGCGAAGGCGGCUCUCUGGCCUGUAACUGACGCUGAGGCGCGAAAGCGUGGGGAGCAAACAGGAUUAGAUACCCUGGUAGUCCACGCCGUAAACGAUGAGUGCUAAGUGUUAGAGGGGUCACACCCUUUAGUGCUGCAGCUAACGCGAUAAGCACUCCGCCUGGGGAGUACGGCCGCAAGGCUGAAACUUAAAGGAAUUGGCGGG
rnacentral:rRNA from 1 species